rnacentral:rRNA from 1 species
AGUGAACGCUGGCGGUAGGCCUAACACAUGCAAGUCGAACGGCAGCACAGUAAGAGCUUGCUCUUACGGGUGGCGAGUGGCGGACGGGUGAGGAAUACAUCGGAAUCUACUUUUUCGUGGGGGAUAACGUAGGGAAACUUACGCUAAUACCGCAUACGACCUACGGGUGAAAGCAGGGGAUCUUCGGACCUUGCGCGAUUGCAUGAGCCGAUGUCGGAUUAGCUAGUUGGCGGGGUAAAGGCCCACCAAGGCGACGAUCCGUAGCUGGUCUGAGAGGAUGAUGAGCCACACUGGAACUGAGACACGGUCCAGACUCCUACGUGAGGCAGCAGUGGGGAAUAUUGGACAAUGGGCGCAAGCCUGAUCCAGCCAUACCGCGUGGGUGAAGAAGGCCUUCGGGUUGUAAAGCCCUUUUGUUGGUAAAGAAAAGCAGCAGGUUAAUACCCCGCUGUUCUGACGGUACCCAAAGAAUAAGCACCGGCUAACUUCGUG